AGGGCUUUUGUUAAUUUGAGUGCGGUUAACCGCGGUGGAUUUUCUUGAAAUACUUCAUGCGACGCGCGGGUGUCGCAUGACACAUUUCAGAAUAUUUCAAAUGAAACAUUUCUCUGCUGAAAUUCCACCAAAACAUUGACCAGGCUCACCACACAAAAAGCUUGGUGCAGCAGCUCACCAAUGCGGUAAAUUUUUGACAGCUGUUUGUUUUGUUAUUUUUUGGUAGUGUUAGCAAGAGAAUUUUAAGCGAGUCAUUCCGUUGCUCGCAAAGUUUGCUUGGCGCAGGUUACGCAGGGUACCAAGGAAACCGGUUCCAAGGUUAUCGGCCGCCUUCCCAUCUUCGCCGCCAGCUUGGAAUUCUCACCCAACCUGGCGGAAGUGGCCGCCUCGUUCCAGCGCAAGGAGCAGGAAAAGUUGCAGCUCAAGACGCGAACGCCGACGGUGGACAGCGCGUCGGUGGAAUUUUUGAACCCGUUCAAUGCAGGCAAGAAGGCACUCAAGACGGUGGAGAUUCCGAUGGAGGACCGGCUGGAGAGGGGGAAGUCUUCCGGGAUGAGUCAGAAGAAUAUGGCCCAUUUGCUGCUGCAGGGACUUCGCAGCAAGGACGCAGAAAUUCGGCGCAGCGUGUUCAGCAUGAACGAGCAGGAGCUGAUUCAGCAGACAGCAUUUCGGUGCUGCUGCGGGAGAUUUCCACGCUGAUGAAGCAGGACAGUGUGCAUGUCGUAACGGCUGUUUGCUGGCUCAAAGCCCUCAUCCACAGUCACACGAGCCAGCUGAUGGCGCUGGCUCGGAGAAUCUGCUGGCCAACUUCAGCACCUGUUUGGCCAUCAUCGAAUACCGGGUGCAGCAUGCCAACUCGCUGUCCAAGUAGGUGUUUGUUCGAGCCAAAAUCGAUCCGGUUGUCCCUGUAGUUGUCUGUUCCUCGCAAAAUUUACUUGGCGACCGGUGUUGUGCGGUCAUCCACUUGUCCAGGAAUGGCUCCAGUUGCACGUCAACCCUUCGUGGCCGCUGUCUUCAGGCUCAUUCUUGGUCGAUUCGAUGACGUUUCCAACUUCUGUCCAGCUUGAAAUCCAAUGUGUGCAUGCUGAACAGUAGAUUUACGGAAUAUCGAAUCGGCCAUGCGCGAUCGAACUAUAAAAAGAUGGAGCAGAACAUCUACAAGAUCAACAAGGUGGGCUGAUUGAUACAGCACAACUAAAUGGCGGCGAUCAUGAAAAUUGUUCUUGCGCCGGGCCGCUUCCAGGUCAAGUCGCUCACGGAACAAACACUUCAUCAGCGCUACCCGUCAGGCAACUCAGUGCUGAUUUCGCUUGACGCCAACACCAGCGGCCCACUACUCACCCGGAAGAUGACUUCGCCUGCCGUCAGACCGAACUGGUCAAGCAGGAGUAAUAAUUUGAGCAACGGCUCUAAAAAAUAAUUGAAAUGUUCAUCUGCUCUGCUUUAUACAUUACUAUUACAGUUAUUCUACUAUCAAAAUGUGCAAAAACAACAAUGAAUUCAUGAAAAAAAAAAUCCCAAAACUGUUACGCCUACCACCGAUCUGUAGUUCAAAAAUUCAAAAUUCGUUAACUGACCAAAAGCGAAAAAAAAAAUUAAAUUAAAUUUUGAGCUGUGUGUAAUUAUUUUUAUUGUCUCCAAUUAUGAUCUUCAACAAGCAUUGGAAAGAAGAACUAUUUGAAGUUUGACUUGUUUUAUUAGACUUUUCCAAUGUUUUUUUAAUGUAUUGAUUUUCAGGAGUUAUUUUUGACUUUUACAACCAUUUCCUAUAUUUUAAGCAAAAUAUGUAUUUUUGUUGUGUACCAGACUCUACGUAAUUUUUACAAUUUUAGGUUGAUACGGAGCUCGAAAGGAACGCAAGACUCCUUAUAAAAAGAAAACAAAAGCGGAAGGGUCACGAAAAGAUUUUUUUAAGCAAUAUACGCACUUCGGAAGGAACCGGUCAAGAAAAAAUUCAAAUGGGCAGCAGCGGCAGCGAAAGCAAGCCAGAGAGGGUGAAGAAAAGCCCCAAGAAAUCAUUCCCUCUCCUUUGUUCUGCUGUUCGUAAAGUUGUUUCUUGACCCCUUUCCUUCCGAUCUGCAUACCAGCCUUUAAGCGGUACAUACGCAGCUGAUAAAAAAACAGAAACGAAAAAUGGCGUUUGACAUUUCUUUGUACUAUGCUUGUUUGCAAUAUGUUUUAAUAGAAAAAAAAUCAAAUAAUUUGAAUUUGCUUAUUUGAAUGCGAUUGAAAUUUACAAAUGAAUGAAUAAUUUUGUAUUUGAUAUAAUAAUAAAUAAUAAAGCCAAAACUCAAAUGCAUCUUGAUUAAAAGGAUGGAAAUUAAGUAAAUCAAAGGAAAAGUCCAAAUUUUCUGGUAGAUUUUUUCUUCAAAUUGAGUGGAUUACCAACUCUAAAAUUUGGCAACACAGAAUCUAAUCUAAUCUAAUCUAAUCUAAUCUAACCCUAGCGCAGCCAGUCUUUCGAGGGCAUCCUGGAGAAUGCCUUAGGUUGAUUGACGACUCUAAAAUUUGGCAACACAGAAAUAUAGAAACUCAGAAAUGGAAUAAGAAGUUCAAAAAUAAAAAUACAUAUUUUAAAAAUCUAUUAUUUUAAAUUAAAAAAAAUAAGAGUAAAUAAACAGUAACUAACAAAAAAUUAAUAAAUUAUAAAUUCGAAGCAUCAGACAUCUAAAUAAUCAAAAAUAUUAAAAUUUGUAAUUAUUUUACAAAUUCAAAAAUUUAAAAGUAAAAUAUCAAAAAUUAUAUAAAAACAAAAUGUCAAAAAUUUCAAAAUUUGAAAUUUCAAGAACAUCAAAAAAUUAAAUAUUUAACAAUUCUAUCAUUUAAAAAUUCUCAUCAACUAUAAUUCCAAAAAUAAUUCGAAUGUAAAAAUUUAGUAAAUCAUCAUUUUUAAAUCAUCAUCAAAAAUUGAAUUAUUUAACAAUUGAACAGUUGAAAAAUUCAUAGAAAUUAUAAUUUUUAAAUACAUAAACAAUUAAACAUUUGGAAAUCAAAAAUAAAAAAACUGUGGAAGGGACCAUCCAUAAACCACGUGGACACUUUUUUUUUGGAAAUGUGGACAAAUUUUCAUACAAAAAAAAAUCUUUUUUGUAUUGAGCGUGGACAAUCGCCGAAACCGAAUGUAAGAAUAUAAGAAUAUAAGAAUAUAAGAAUAUAAGAAUAUAAGAAUAUAAGAAUAUAAGAAUAUAAGAAUAUAAGAAUAUAAGAAUAUAAGAAUAUAAGAAUAUAAGAAUAUAAGAAUAUAAGAAUAUAAGAAUAUAAGAAUAUAAGAAUAUAAGAAUA